GGAAAAUCCUUAUGCGCAUGUGCUUCUGCAAGUUCACGAGACGCAUCGGACCGGAAUGGAUACGCUGUUGGCGAUCGUGUUCAUGCCGCGUGGUCGCUUACUUCCGGUAUCGGUGGUUCGAGAGGCUUUUCUCGGAAGUUUACAACACGAGGCAGAGGCCUGGAUUGCGCGGUGAUAGAGCAUUACGGAGUCAGACAAAAUCAAACCUUUGUGAUAUGAAUUUAAUAUACUUUAAUGUGUAUUCUGGUUUGGAGCGCAUAUUAUAUACGUGUAAAACCGAGGAACUUAGAUAUAAGACCUCAACUUUGUGUACUGAAUGUGCACAAAGUAUUUAUUUACUAAACGUCUGCUUUUUGGGUGCUACACACAAAAAUGAGAUGGAACUAUUUACGUGGCUGUACAUUUUUUAAAAAAUAAAAUGUAUUCAAUAAU
rnacentral:sRNA from 1 species